CCCGCAGCACCUGGUAAACUGUGAAAUUUGGAAAUUAGUGCGCUGCUGAAAACAAAUUGCUUUGUUGAUGCAGAACGUCGGCGGAGAAAAAAGAGAAAGAGGGAAAAGUUAAGGAGAAACAAAAGAAAAUCAUCUUUGACAUUGGCUGUGGAAACGUGGGCUCGUCUCCGGCGUGCUUCGGUGUGAUCCACACUGCGUCUUCUGGUGUGCGAACACGGGGUCGCCCCGACUGAUGGCACGGACCCACCGGGCAGCAACGCAGGAGAGAGGAACGUCUUGGCAUUCGGCCACGAUGAUGAUGAGCACCCAGGGUGCACCUCCUCCCCCUCCUCCUCUUCAUCCCACUCAUCCUCACUCCUCCCUCCUCAUCAAGCUCAGAACAAGGGUAUGUGUUUUGGUGGGGGUAUGUGUGUGUGUGUGUGUGUGUGUGUGUGUGUG
ensembl:lncRNA